UCUUUUGAAAAAAAAAAAAAAAAAAAAAAAGCAAUACUUGAUCUCAUCUGAACUCGGAAGCAGGUUUGGGCCUGGUUAGUACUUAGAUGGGAGACCGCGUGGGGAUACCAGGUGCUGUAAGCU
rnacentral:rRNA from 1 species